CCCCCGCACGGGCGGUGCGCCCGGUGGCGCUGCCGGCGCCGUCAGCCAAGCCGUUCGAGGCGUUGGCGAAGGGC
rnacentral:tRNA from 1 species